rnacentral:rRNA from 1 species
UACCAGCACCCCGAGUGGUCGGGACGAUUAUUGGGCCUAAAGCAUCCGUAGCCGGUUUUACAAGUCCUCCGUUAAAUCCAGCUGCUUAACAGAUGGGCUGCGGAGGAUACUAUAAGACUAGGAGGCAGGAGAGGCAAGCGGUACUCAGUGGGUAGGGGUAAAAUCCGUUGAUCCAUUGAAGACCACCAGUGGCGAAGGCGGCUUGCCAGAACGCGCUCGACGGUGAGGGAUGAAAGCUGGGGGGAGCAAACCGG